GACGUAGGGCGCGAGCGUUGUCCGGAUUUAUUGGGCGUAAAGAGCUCGUAGGCGGCUUGUCGCGUCGACCGUGAAAACUUGGGGCUCAACCCCAAGCCUGCGGUCGAUACGGGCAGGCUAGAGUUCGGUAGGGGAGACUGGAAUUCCUGGUGUAGCGGUGAAAUGCGCAGAUAUCAGGAAGAACACCUAUGGCGAAGGCAGCUCUCUGGGACGGUACUGACGCUGAGACGCGAAAGCGUGGGGAGCGAACAGG
rnacentral:rRNA from 1 species